GGGAAGGUAACUCAGUGGUAGAGCGCUUGCCUUGCAUGCAUGAGGCCCUGGGUUUGAUUCCCCAGCACCA
rnacentral:tRNA from 1 species